UUUCGGAGCGCGUCGUUCUUUCGCGCCUGCAGCUCUUUUUGGGUGUCGUUGCUUUUCGUCUCCUGCAUCGUCCUCAUCCGAUGUCAUCCCGCCCUGAGAACUCCGGGUUAUUACCAUAUGUGAUUAGUGUGAUCCAAGGGUACAGAAUGGAUCUCGAAGGAGAGGGGGUCGUUGCCGGGCCUCCAAGGGAACGCCGACGUCGUGUAGACAGCGAGAACCUUUGGCCUCCUGACCUUUGGUUUACUGUUGACAGAAAGCAGACUUUGCGUGGACCAGGAUGAAUCAAGGAGUGCGAAAGAAUUGGGAAGCGAUGUGCACAUUUUUCCUAAGUGCCCAUGCCCACAUGGCUGAACAGACAGAAUCUGGAGAAUGGAGGUCCAGAGCCCUGUGUGUCAAGGGGCAGAAAGUAAGUUGAUUGCAGCUUGAUCUUCCCCUUGGCUCAGUCUGUAACAGGAGUUUCUCAUUGGUGGAGUUGGAGUACAAAGCCUCUUGGAAAAGAUUGACCCUCUAUUUUCCUGAGAAAGCAUAAUGUAAUUUUGUAGGCUUCCUAUCUGCAGAAGGAAAAUAAAAAAAUCCCUGAAAUCAGAAUGCUCUUGGGUUUGAUC